GACGAACGCUGGCGGCGUGCUUAACACAUGCAAGUCGAACGGAAAGUGCUCAGCUUGCUGGGUGACUCGAGUGGCGAACGGGUGAGUAACACGUGGGUGAUCUGCCCUGCACUUUGGGAUAAGCCUGGGAAACUGGGUCUAAUACCGAAUACACCCUGCUGGUCGCAUGGCCUGGUGGGGGAAAGCUUUUGCGGUGUGGGAUGGGCCCGCGGCCUAUCAGCUUGUUGGUGGGGUGAUGGCCUACCAAGGCGACGACGGGUAGCCGGCCUGUGAGGGUGUCCGGCCACACUGGGACUGAGAUACUGCCCAGACUCCUACGGGAGGCAGCAGUGGGGAAUAUUGCACAAUGGGCGCAAGCCUGAUGCAGCGACGCCGCGUGAGGGAUGACGGCCUUCGGGUUGUAAACCUCUUUCAAUAGGGACGAAGCGGAAGUGACGGUACCUAUAGAAGAAGCACCGGCCAACUACGUGCCAGCAGCCGCGGUAAUAC
rnacentral:rRNA from 1 species